AUUCCAAUCGAACUCGGAGAUAGCUGGUUCUCCCCGAAAUAGCUUUAGGGCUAGCGUCGGAUAUGUGUAGUGGAGGUAGAGCACUGAAUGGGCUAGGGGGCAUAUCGCUUACCGAACCUUAUCAAACUCCGAAUGCCAUAUACAUUUAGUCCGGCAGUCAGACUACGAAUGAUAAGAUCCGUGGUCAAAAGGGAAACAGCCCAGAUCGUCAGCUAAGGUCCCAAAGUGUAAGUUAAGUGGAAAAGGAUGUGGGAUUUCUAAGACAACUAGGAUGUUGGCUUAGAAGCAGCCACUCAUUUAAAGAGUGCGUAAUAGCUCACUAGUCGAGAGAUCCUGCGCCGAAAAUGUCCGGGGCUCAAACUUACCACCGAAGCUACGGGCUUGCGUAAGCAAGCGGUAGGGGAGCGUCGUAAUCGGGCUGAAGUCGUACCGUAAGGAGCGGUGGACUGAUUACGAGUGAGAAUGUUGGCAUUAGUAGCGAGAUGUAGGUGAGAAUCCUACAGGCCGAAUAUCUAAGGUUUCCUCAGGAAGGCUCGUCCGCUGAGGGUUAGUCGGGACCUAAGCCGAGGCCGAAAGGCGUAGGCGAUGGACAAUCGGUUGAUAUUCCGAUACCACUACCAUCGUUAUUAUCGAGGGUGUGACGGAGAAGGAUAGUGUGUGCUAGCGAUUGGAAAUGCUAGUCUAAGCGUUUAGGGAGUUACGGUAGGCAAAUCCGCUGUAACAAUUCUGAGGCGUGAUGGGGAAGGCCAUAUAGGCCGAAGUACAUGAUUCCAUGCUUCCAAGAAAAGCAUCUAGAGAGAGAAGUAGUGCCCGUACCGCAAACCGACACAGGUAGAUGAGGAGAGAAUCCUAAGGCCGGCGGAAGAAUUGCAGUUAAGGAACUAGGCAAAUUGACCCCGUAAGUUCGCGAGAAGGGGUGCCUGCGAGAGCAGGCCGCAGAGAAUAGGCCCAAGCAACUGUUUAGCAAAAACACAGGUCUCUGCUAAAGCGUAAGCUGAUGUAUAGGGGCUGACGCCUGCCCGGUGCUGGAAGGUUAAGGGGAACACUUAGCGCAAGCGAAGGUGUGAACUUAAGCCCCAGUAAACGGCGGCCGUAACUAUAACGGUCCUAAGGUAGCGAAAUUCCUUGUCAGGUAAGUUCUGACCCGCACGAAUGGCGUAAUGACUUGGGCACUGUCUCAACUGCAAAUCCGGCGAAGUUGUAGUGCGAGUGAAGAUGCUCGCUACCCGCGAUUGGACGGAAAGACCCCGUAGAGCUUUACUGCAGCUUAGCAUUGAAUUCCGGUAUUGUCUGUACAGGAUAGGUGGGAGACUGGGAAACUAGGGCGUCAGCCUUAGUGGAGUCAACCUUGGGAUACCACCCUGACAGUACUGGGGUUCUAACAGGACGCCAUGAAUCUGGUGACUGGACAUUGUUAGGUGGGCAGUUUGACUGGGGCGGUCGCCUCCUAAAAAGUAACGGAGGCGCCCAAAGGUUCCCUCAGAACGGUCGGAAAUCGUUCGUAGAGUGCAAAGGCAGAAGGGAGCCUGACUGCGAGACCUACAAGUCGAGCAGGGACGAAAGUCGGGCUUAGUGAUCCGGUGGUACCUCGUGGGAGGGCCAUCGCUCAACGGAUAAAAGCUACCUCGGGGAUAACAGGCUGAUCUCCCCCAAGAGUCCACAUCGACGGGGAGGUUUGGCACCUCGAUGUCGGCUCAUCGCAUCCUGGGGCUGUAUUCGGUCCCAAGGGUUUGGCUGUUCGCCAAUUAAAGCGGCACGCGAGCUGGGUUCAGAACGUCGUGAGACAGUUCGGUCCCUAUCCGUCGCGGGCGUAGGAAAUUUGAGAGGAGCUGUCCUUAGUACGAGAGGACCGGGAUGGACUGACCUCUGGUGCACCAGUUGUUCCGCCAGGAGCAUGGCUGGGUAGCUAAGUCGGGAAGGGAUAAACGCUGAAAGCAUCUAAGCGUGAAGCCUCCCUCAAGAUGAGAUUUCCCAUAGCAUAAGCUAGUAAGACCCCUUGAAGAACACAAGGUUGAUAGGUCAGAGGUGUAAGUGCGGUAACGUAUGUAGCUGACUGAUACUAAUAGGUCGAGGGCUUGACCAA
rnacentral:rRNA from 1 species